rnacentral:rRNA from 1 species
CCUACGGGUGGCAGCAGUGGGGGAUAUUGCACAAUGGGGGGAACCCUGAUGCAGCUACGCCGCGUGGGUGAAGAAGCGCCUCGGCGCGUAAAGCCCUGUCAGCAGGGAAGAAAAUGACGGUACCUGAAGAAGAAGCCCCGGCUAACUACGUGCCAGCAGCCGCGGGAAUACGUAGGGGGCAAGCGUGAGCCGGAUGUACUGGUGGGAAGGUGGGCGCAGACGGCGAUGCAAGCCAGGAGUGAAAGCCCGGGGCCCAACCCCGGGACUGCUCGUGGAACUGCGUGGCUGGAGUGCAGGAGGGGCAGGCGGAAUUCCUGGUGUAGGGGUGAAAUGCGUAGAUAUCAGGAGGAACACCGGUGGCGAAGGCGACCAGCUGGACUGCAACUGACGUUGAGGCCCGAAAGCGUGGGGAGCAAACAGGAUUAGAUACCCUUGUAGUC